UCUUGACAAAGAGCAUACAGUUGAAACCGCCACCCCCUUUCCCUCCCCCCUCCCCCCAGUUCCAUGACUAGGGGCUAGAGGGAUAUGAGGCAGAGAAGAGGAUAUGAGGAAGAACCCAGCUCCAAGACUGCCCUGGGCGACCUUGAUCCAGUCACUUUCCCUCUCUGCGCCUGGUAGCUACCUCUGUAAAAGGGGAUGGGGGAGAGACGGGUGCCUCUUCUCCAGUACUAACCUACAGUCAGUGAGGAUUUGGUCCCCAAGCUGGUCCUCCCACUCCACCCUCCAGCCUCCAGUGCGCAUUUGUCAGAGCAGGUCUCGGAGGGGAGAGAAUCCUAAGGGUCCUGUGCCCUCCUCACCCUCGGUCAGGGGUCCCCAGCUCCCACGAGUGGAGCUCGGGAAGGGGGUGGGGGACGAGUGGGCUGGGGCGCGAAUGCAGCAUCCCUGCGCUCGGAGAGCUGCAAUUGGCCAGAGAUGAUCUCACCGCCUCCCGGCCUGCGCGCGCCUGAUUGGCCGGCGCCGGGAUGCUGCGCUCCGCCGGCGGGGCCGUCAUUCAGGCGGGCUCGGAGCGUGUGCGUGUGUGUGAGCUUGCGGGAGCUCAGAGGUGACGCGCCCGGCGUCCUCCGGGGGGCUCGGGAAGCCAAAGCGCAGAGACCCCCGGUCAGGGUCUUAACCCCGUUCCACCGGCCGGCGCCCAGCAACCCGCUUCUAAUCCUCCUCAGCAUCCCAACCCCAAGCAAAGCCGUCCCCAGAGGGUACUCCGCAGAGAGGCGGGGUCCGGGUCCUCCCCUCCACCCCCUUCCUUUUAACCCUUUCACCGCCACGGUGCCGUCCCGCACUGCCCGGCCAGCUGGCCUGGGAGACCCGCGCCUCAGGCGUGGCCCAAGCCACCUGGAGGGCAGAAGGUUGGCGGGCGCUCUAUCCCCAGCUCUGGCCCCCGCAGCAUCCGCUCAGCUUCCUGCGCCUCGUUCAGCCUUCAGACCCCAGCCCAGCACCCCCGGUACAAUGGGGAGCAGGGUGCCCCGGUCAGCCGCAGGGGCCGAAGUGCUCGCUGGAGGACCGGCAGGGCGCCGGGGACCCCCUUUCCCUGCACCCAAGCCUCAGCUCAGCUCCCUCCUGCGGAGCAGGCAGGACCGGAGCAGCAUCCCCAGCGUCCCCGCGUCCCGGGAGUGCCAGCUGGACCCUCACCCCGCGGAGCGCCGGGGCGGCCAGAGGUUCAGAAAGACCCCAGCUUUGCCACUGUGUGACCUUUGGCAAAUGACCUCACCUCUUUGAGCCUAAAUGGCCUCUGAAAAAUGGUUCCGUGAUCCUGAAUAUGUGCUGUUGUCAAGAUUCAGUGGAGCACCCGGUACUUCCUGAGCGCUCAGGUAUGCUCAGUCAUGUUAGCUAUUUUUGUGAACACCGUCCCGUGCUCAAUUGGCUUUGGCGCAGCACGGCGGGGUGGGAGUUGCUGGGGACUCAUCCCUGUCUCCCAGAGAGCUGGGGGAGGGGGGGUGCUGUCCAGAUAGGAAGGCCCGGCUGUUGCUCGCUCACCGCCUCCGGUGUCACCACGCCCCAAAGCGGCCAUCGGUUUCCAUGUCAACGGCGGGUGGAGGGGGCCUGGGGAGGCGGCAGAGGGGGUUGUUCUCUUUCCCAAGGCCGGAGACCGCUCCCUUGGCGCCUCCCGCCUUCGCCUCUAGGGGGGCACUCAGAGCCGGGGAGGAAAGGGCUCCCCGAGGCAGCCGGCAGGAGGUGGGGGGUAAACUGAGGCACGCGGAGGGGCGUUCCACGGCCAGGUGUUGCGCGCGGGGCCCCACCUCCGAAGACGGGGGAGGGGCCGCAGGCGGUGACGCGCCGAGGGCGGCCGGCAGACAGCGGGCGGGCGGGCGGCGACAGCGGCGGCAGCGGCAGGUGCGGCCGCGGAAAGUUGGGAGGGAGGAGGGAGGGGCGGGAGGAGGGGGAAGGGAGGGGCGAGGCCCCGGGCACCUCCCCCUUUAUAACGCGCCCCUUCCCGGGCUCUCGGGCCGCCUCCUCGUCGGCUCUUCCCGUCUCGUCCCCUCGCCCGGCCGCCCCGGGCCCGGGCCCGGCCAGGGAGACCCCAGGCCGCGGCUCGGGGGCCGCUCCCCC
rnacentral:lncRNA from 1 species